UAAUGGGGUGAAAAAGCAAAUUAAACACAUGUUAAUACAUAAGAGCAGUGCUACUAUAUGGAAUUUGCUUAGUAUAAAUUUGAAGCAUACUCUGAUGAGAUGUAAAUGGCAAAGACCAAAUUAGCUAAAAAUAUCCUCAGAAUAUGCUGUGAGAAAACAUUAAAGAAAUAAAACUGCUACAAUUAGGAAAUAUUCACUUAAUUCAAAAGAAGCAUUAAUAGAGAAAUAAAGAUAAAAAUAUGUAAAACCAAGAAGAUAUGUAAAUCUAACAAUACCAAUAAUCACAUUAAAUAUAAUUGGAUUAAACAAAAGGCAUUAUAGAUUCAUAAAACAUGAUACAAGUAUAUAAAGGAGACACUUUAGAUUUAAAGCUAAAUAUGAUUCAAGUAAAAGGAUGGGACUGGGAGUGUAGCUCAGCUUGCCUAGCAUGCACAAGUCCCUGGGUAUGAUCCCCAGCAAAUGAAAUAAUUUAAAGGAUGGAAUAUGAUAUGUCAUGCAAACAGAAAUCAUCAGAAAGACAGAAUGACUUAAAGAGAAAAUAGAAAUUAAAACAAAAAAUUAUAUGGAAGGACUUUUUUAUAUAUAAGAUAAAAGGGUUAAUUUACCGGGGAUAAAACAAGUAAACAUAAAUUAAUAAACCUGCUGAUGGAACACCAAAAUAUGAAGCAAUUGCUGACAGCAAGCCAGGACUGGUGGCACAUGCCUGUAAUCCCAGUGGCUCAGGAGGCCGAGGCAGGUGGAUCUCGAGUUCAAAGCCAGCCUCAGCAAAUUAGUGAGGCCCUAAGCAACUCAACGAGAUUCUGUCUAUAAAUAAAAUAUGAAAAAGGGCUGGGGGUGUGGCUAGACUUCAAUACCCUACUUGCAAUAAUGGAUAGAAUAACUCCAAAAAUCAAUAAGGAACAGAAGAAGACUUGUACUAUGCUAUAAACCAACUCAUCUAAUGGACAUUUAUCGACUAUUCCUCUCAACAAACAACAGAAUAUACAUUGUUUUCAAACACUAAUGAAACAUUUCCCAGGAAAGGAAAGAGUGUGUUAGUCCAUAAAACAAACCUCAGAAAAUUUAAAAGAAUAGAAAUAAUACAAAACAUUCUUCAAUUAGAGUGGAAUGAAAUCAGAGAUUGAGGGCAAGGAAAAAAUUGGGAAACUUAUAAAUAUGUAGAAUUAUUAAACACUUCUAAAUAUUAAUGGGUCAAAGAAUAAAAUAAGAAAAUACUUUGGAAUGAGAAAUGAAGGUAAAAUAUAAUCGAACUUGGG
rnacentral:lncRNA from 1 species